AACGAACGCUGGCGGCAGGCCUAACACAUGCAAGUCGAACGCUCGUAGCAAUACGGGAGUGGCAGACGGGUGAGUAACGCGUGGGAACGUACCUUUCGGUUCGGAAUAACCCUGGGAAACUCGGGCUAAUACCGGAUACGUCCGCAAGGAGAAAGAUUUAUCGCCGAAAGAUCGGCCCGCGUCGGAUUAGCUAGUUGGUGAGGUAACGGCCCACCAAGGCGACGAUCCGUAGCUGGUCUGAGAGGAUGAUCAGCCACACUGGGACUGAGACACGGCCCAGACACCUACGGGAGGCAG
rnacentral:rRNA from 1 species